rnacentral:rRNA from 1 species
UACGUAGGGUGCAAGCGUUAAUCGGAAUUACUGGGCGUAAAGCGUGCGCAGGCGGUUAUGCAAGACAGAUGUGAAAUCCCCGGGCUCAACCUGGGAACUGCAUUUGUGACUGCAUGGCUAGAGUACGGCAGAGGGGGAUGGAAUUCCACGUGUAGCAGUGUAAUGCGUAGAUAUGUGGAGGAACACCGAUGGCGAAGGCAAUCCCCUGGGCCUGUACUGACGCUCAUGCACGAAAGCGUGGGGAGCAAACAGG